AAUAUAUUAGUAUCAGUAUAAUUUAAUAUUAUUCUGCCUUAUAAAAGAAAGAAAUCCUGUCAUUUGUGACAACAUGGAUGGACCGGGAGGACACUGUGUUAAGUGAAAUAGGUCAGACACAGAAUGACAAUUACUGCAUGAUCUCACUUACAUGUGAAAUCUAAAAAACUCAGACUCUUAGAAGCAGAGAGUAGAAUGGUGGUUACCAGACACUGGAGGAUGGGGUGGGA
rnacentral:lncRNA from 1 species